rnacentral:rRNA from 1 species
CCUGGGGAGUACGGCCGCAAGGUUAAAACUCAAAUGAAUUGACGGGGGCCCGCACAAGCGGUGGAGCAUGUGGUUUAAUUCGAUGCAACGCGAAGAACCUUACCUGGUCUUGACAUCCACAGAACUUAGCAGAGAUGCUUUGGUGCCUUCGGGAACUGUGAGACAGGUGCUGCAUGGCUGUCGUCAGCUCGUGUUGUGAAAUGUUGGGUUAAGUCCCGCAACGAGCGCAACCCUUAUCCUUUGUUGCCAGCGGUUAGGCCGGGAACUCAAAGGAGACUGCCAGUGAUAAACUGGAGGAAGGUGGGGAUGACGUCAAGUCAUCAUGGCCCUUACGACCAGGGCUACACACGUGCUACAAUGGCAUAUACAAAGAGAAGCGACCUCGCGAGAGCAAGCGGACCUCAUAAAGUAUGUCGUAGUCCGGAUUGGAGUCUGCAACUCGACUCCAUGAAGUCGGAAUCGCUAGUAAUCGUAGAUCAGAAUGCUACGGUGAAUACGUUCCCGGGCCUUGUACACACCGCCCGUCACACCAUGGGAGU